UGAAGACAAAAUUGUGUGAGUGUGUGU
rnacentral:piRNA from 1 species